UCAGGUGGAGGUUGUGCAGCAGGCCCCGAGGCGCCUCCCAGACCUGUGGUCCAGGUGGAGUCGGCGUCAGCUGACACCUUCCCGCUCCCAAGCGUGAGCGAGUUUCGUCUUAGCUGCUGCCUCAAGACAGACUCAACUAGUCCGCCGCUUUUUAAAUUUUGUAGGGUGUUAAUGAAGCCUGAACUAAGCCUUAGUCUACAAAGCUGCCUACACAGGACACCUUUGAACAGAUGACUCAUGUAUCACCAUCCCCAUUCUACUGUAUUUUUCAGAAUUUAAGCUCUGAACUAACUGCAUCAAAUCCACCUGUGCCGCUUGUGGAAAAUGCAAAGCUCUUUCCUCCAGGGUGCCUCCUGAAGCCCAAGACUUUGCUUCCCAUAGGAGCUUGCAAAUAAACUAUGCCAUAAGGCAAAGGAGAGCUUGGAAAGGGGCUCCCCAGGAAUUUAAGUGCUAAACUUUUGGUAGUUUCUUGGCCUGGACAAAUAGAACUGAUAUAGACAUCAGCGAGACAGCAUCCUAAAAGUUCUGUGCUUGUUGAUACCGAAGGAUUAGGGAGUAGAGACAUAGCAAUCCUGAUAACUUGGGCAUGUUGAAUCAUGGCCCAAGAGCUUUGCUCCAUUAUUAAGUAUGAGCUACUCUGUUGUGUGAAGCAAACGUGCUCUCUAACCACCGCUCCAGGGAGAAUUUGAUUUGGACAAGCAAGAAGACACUUUAUCUUCUGAAGGAAGAUGGAAAGGAUGGGUAUACAUGUGGAUAAGUUUGUGGAUCUAAAAGGAGGGAGUUCAUGGAGUUCAAGCCUGGUGACUUCAAUUUCCUCAGUGACAUAGAAGGAAGCUUCCAGAAGAUGUGCUUCACCGAACAAGAAACUAAACAAAGUAGAAGACCAAGGAUACAGGACAGAAGAUGUACACAGAAGAGUGGCGAUAGCAAACCCAGGAUGAUGGUGAAGGGAAAGCUCCAAGAUGACAACCCUACAAAUGCCAGUAAAUUUUCGUUAGUCCUUAAACUAGCAAGACAGAUUUGGCCUGCCCCACAUGCACAGAAGGGCAAGC